rnacentral:lncRNA from 1 species
GGUCUGUUGAAGGACUGUGAGGAGGGGAGGUCUGUUGAAGGACUGUGAGGAGGGGAGGUCUGUUGAAGGACUGUGAGGAGGGGAGGUCUGUUGAAGGACUGUGAGGAGGGGAGGUCUGUUGAAGGACUGUGAGGAGUGGAGGUCUGUUGAAGGACUGUGAGGAGGGAAGGACUGUGAGGAGGGGAGGUCUGUUGGAGGACUGGUGUGUGGCCGGCAGCGAGUUGCCACAUCGUCAUCCUCAGCACAGGCAUCUUCUUCAUCACCUCAGAGUGUGUGUGUGUGUGUGUGUGUGUGUGUGUGUGUGUGUGUGUGGCUGGGUGGGUGGGUUACAUUCUGAGUGUAAUUUGUCACUAGAUACCCGUCCAAAAUUGUAAUCGGUAACAUAACUGUUGGGAUUACCCAAACUCAGGAACAUAACUGUUGGGAUUACCCAAACUCAGUGACAUAACUGUUGGGAUUACCCAAACUCAGGAACAUAACUGUUGGGAUUACCCAAACUCAGGAAC